UACGUAGGGGGCGAGCGUUGUCCGGAUUUAUUGGGCGUAAAGAGCUCGUAGGCGGUUUGGUAAGUCGGGUGUGAAAUCUCCACGCUCAACGUGGAGGGGCCACUCGAUACUGCCAUGACUCGAGUCCGGUAGAGGAGUGUGGAAUUCCCGGUGUAGCGGUGAAAUGCGCAGAUAUCGGGAGGAACACCCGUGGCGAAGGCGGCACUCUGGGCCGGAACUGACGCUGAGGAGCGAAAGCGUGGGGAGCAAACAGG
rnacentral:rRNA from 1 species